CAAGUUUUUGCUCAUUGGAAAAAGAUGAACUUUGAGUCAUGUCCUUUUGACUUGAAAUACAAUGAGAAAUGAGAAAUCCUUAUUAUUCUUGGAAUUGUAGAAUUUUUUCCAGAAACAACUUUAAUGUUUUGUCUUUUUUUUUUUUUUUUUUUUUUUUUAACAAAGUGAAUUUUAAAUUACACUAAAAUAUAGGGAUAGAAUGCAAGCAAAGAAGCAUCUACGCCAAUUUGCUUUUAUUUUUUUAUAAUAAAAUACUUUCUUUUGGUGGUCAAUAAAAGAUUGUAAUUUCAGCAUAAAAAGAAAAAACAAGACAAAGAGGUUUCUUUUUUGGUCAAGAAGAAAAGGUGGUGAUCAGCUCCUCCAAGUAUAAAAAAUUAAAAAAUUAAAAAGUAUACUAAUUAUUACACUAUUUAUCCCAAAAAGACAACAGAAGUUAAAUAGGAAGAAAAAUAGAAAAAGAAAGAGAGGUCUCUGGUGGUAUGGGUGAUGGCGGUUGCGGCAACUUCAGAAACAAUUGACGCUCAAAUUGGGCAUCUCGCCUUCUAAAGAUUUUGAUUUUCUUGCACAGACCAAACCCUUCUCUCAUUUUCUGAGGAAGACGCGACAAAGAAGAGAAACAAGAAAAAUAAAAGAACAAAAAUGGGACCUUCGAAGCACGGUACGGACAAUAACAGGGGCCUCACUGGGCACGCAUACACCCUCUAUCAGCGUUUCAAUCAUGCUCUCAGCCUCGGUAACAGAUUUUGUGGUGACAAGGCAAAAAAAUGGCAGUGUAUGGAUAUCGAGAUACAAAGACAUGUGGUCCACUCAAUAGCUGCAUUUCUUGAUUAUAUUUCUGGGGAUACACUGCAUCAUCCACUUGUGAAGGCUUCAGUUUCUGACAUCGUCGGUGCAUUAGUUUGGAUUCUUCAAUCUAACAAGGGAGCCAUGUUGAGCAUGGCAGCAGAUGUGACAUUAAAAUUAGUCAGCAUUUUACCUAAAUCAGUACUGCAGCUUUAUGCAUUAGAUCUUGUUAAUCCUUUGUCAUCUUUAUUAUCUUCGCAUCAAACAGAAGUUGCUAUAUCAUGUGCCGCAGCACUGAAUCUUAGUCUUUCAAACCUCAGUACCAAGAGUGGAAAAGAAGUUUGGGAUGUUCUCAAGAAAACAGAAAUUGUUUCUCAAGUUAUCACUAACUUACGAUGCUUUCCUGGAUGUGCAAAGCAAGUAGAAUAUUUCCAAGAGAUGGCUUUACUUUUGAGUACCAUACUAUGGUGGUGGUCUCCAUCUAGGUUUUCUGUUUGGAGUGAUGCUGAACUGAUGAAAGGUUUAAAUGAUAUGCUAGAUAAUUAUGGAAAAGCUGCAGUUUUGAAGUUGUAUUCUUCUAUAGCUUUAUGUGGUCAUGGGACCAAGAAAUUAUUAGAAAGUGGAGAGGUCCUUGAACAGAUGGUGCAAUGCAUGAACAACUCACAUCCUCAUCCUGUUCGAAUUGAAGGAUUCAAGCUAGCCCAGUGUUUAGCGAUAAAUGAAAAUACAUGCUUACAAAUGAUGAGAUUAUGUUGCAAGCCUAUUAUCAAAGCCAUAAUUUCUGGAAUGAGUGAGUUGAGCUCAAAUUCUAGAAAGGUCUCCAAUGAGCAGAUGUCUUUGCUAGAGGAGGCAUGUCGCUUGGCUUUGAUUACUCGUUGGACAGGGGAGCAUCACAUUCAUUUAUGGAAACAAGGGAUUGACAAAAUCCUCCUUGAUCUUCUCUUUAAUUUUCGGAACCAACAGUACAAACAUUCCAUGUCAUUGGAUGAGCAAAUAGCUACUGCUAAGGAGGGUCUCAAUGCCAAUUAUCUUCUUGUUCUGAGGAGUUACAUCUGGGAUAUUCUUGGAUGGCUUGCAAUACAUUGUGGGGAGGAUUUCCACCCUGAAAGUGAACUCUACAUUAACAUCCUCAUUACAUGUGCAUGCUUGACCUUUGUUGAUGCAAUUCGAAAGUGGCAUAAAAUAUAUGAAAAGGAUAAUGCUGGUGUCUUCAGAAGUGAAUCAGCAACGAGGGCAGUUUUUAUGAUGAUUUAUUCUCCUUGCAAAUACAUUGCAUCAAGGACCAGAACCAUAUUGUCUGAAAUACUAGAGCCAGAUGGAUUGGAGUAUCUGAAAACCUUAGUGCAUUUUCUAAAUAAUCUAUCAUCUUGGACUGAAUUUGGAAUGCCAGAUAGACUCCAAAUUAUAAUUUAUUUAAUGGGGUUCGCAUGCUAUUCAGGUUUGCCACAGUACCAAACCUGGGUGGUCAAACGAAGAGGGGUAAAAACAUUAUUGGCUCUUAUGAGGUGGUGCUUAAGUAAUGAUUUCCAUAUAGAAAGAUCGAGCUUUGCUCCACAUUUGCAUAAUGCAGUUUGUGAGAGGAUAUGCUGUUGGGUUUCCGCAGAAGACUGGGAAGGCAAAGACAUUCUUUUAUUUUUCAGUUUGUGGGGACUGGCUGAGUUGAUACAGCAUUCUCUAUGUAUAGGAAAUAACCAAGACAGAAUUUCUUGUGAGAUGAGACAUAUAGAAGCUCAACUAGUUAGCGAACUUCAGGAUAUCUGUACCAACAGUUGUGCUCCUGGGCUGCAAUGGUAUGCUGCAUUUAUUCUUAGUUACUUUGGAUAUUAUGGCUUUCCAGGAAAACAUGCAAAAAGGAUUGGUAAAGCACUUAAUGAGAAGGAUGAUGCUGAUAUACAACUCAUUCUCGCAAAUGGGGAGUGUUUGAGUGUCCAUGGUGUUGUGCUUGCAAUUCAAUGUCCAUCGUUACUGCCUCCUGAAGUGCUUCUUCCUGGUGAGGUAACAUCUGAUGAUUCUUCAGGGGGAGGCUCUAUGGAGACUUGUAGAGGGUUUCAGAAAGACAUAAGAUUAUCUGCUCAUGUUGAUCACCAAGCGUUGGUGAUGUUGUUGGACUAUAUCUAUUUGGGAUAUCUUCAAGCAGGAGAUGAACUUGCAAAAAAGUUGAGGACUCUAGCCAAACGCUGUAAUCUACAGUCUCUGUUACAGAUGCUGUGUAGAAAACGUCCCAAGUGGGGCACUGCUUUCCCAAGCAUAGAUCUUAAUGUAGCUCUGGGUCCAUCUGGACAUUGUUUCUCGGAUGUCAUACUAGAAGCUAAAGCAACUGAGCUCUUGGGCUGGACAUGUGGUGUUUGCUCUCUACCACGGCCACAUAUGCAUGCUCACAAAGUUGUAUUGUCAUCAAGUUGUGAUUACUUGCGGGCCUUGUUUAAGUCAGGAAUGCAGGAGAGCCAUUUAGAAACCAUAAAGGUUUCUAUUAGUUGGGAAGCAAUGGUUAAACUAGGCAACUGCUUCUAUUCCGGUAAGCUGCCAAAGCCUCCCUCUGGAUGUUUAUGGAACAUUAUGGAUACUGAAGAAAAGUUGCAUGAGCUACAGCCAUACGUAGAGCUUUUUGGGCUUUCUGAGUUCUGGCUCAUGCAAGAUGUUCAAGAAGCAUGCUCAGAUGUAAUCAUAUCAUGUCUUGGUUCUUCCAGAGAGUUGUCUAUUAAAAUACUACACGUUGCUGCCAAUUUAUCUGUGUGGAAGUUGGCCGAAGUUGCAGCAACUUAUGCCGCACCUUUAUAUCGCCAGCUAUGCAAUUCUGGCGAACUUGAAUCGCUUGAUGAGAUGCUGGUUGAAAUGGUUCGUGCAGCAUCUGUUCAACUCUCUCAACAGCAGGCUAGCAGAGAGGACCAAGUGCCUAAACUUUACAGUCGUCCAUCUAGCAGAUGAGGAACGUUGCUACAAACAGGAGGAGAAGUGUGAUGGUAGAGGAUGGAUAUCUCCAUAGUAGGAGAAGGAACUCCACCAUUCAGCCUAGAUUUUUUUUUGUGGUGAAUCUCUUAAGUUCUUUUUUUUCCUCUCCCGCAAAAUAAAUAAAUAGGCAUCAUCACUGCUCUUGAAGUGAAAUUAGUGUAUCAUGAGUGCUCUCAGAAAUCAGAUAUGCGUCCAUCAUUCUCAGCAGUACUAUCAUUGAUGAUGCCUGUGCAUAACUUACGUGGAUUCAAGUGGAACAACCAGGAAGAAAUAAGAUCGUCACAGCAAUUCCAUUAAUGAAGUUGGGUUGUAGAAUGAGGACAAGGUAUGUUACCAACUUACCAAUUACAAUACCCAGUUUAUAUCUUGGCUCAGAAGACCCUGCACAUGUAUACCCAAAAAAAAAGAAUCAUGCACAUAUCACAAACCCAAGUACCAUAAAAUUAUCAGGGGUUGAUGGUGGAGAAAGAAGAACAGAUGUAGAAUUCAGGUCGUGAAUGAAAAACAGAUACCAAUUAAUCCUAAUGGACUGUACUGGUAAACCUUUGAGAAAAAAGUCUUCACCGUCAUGACAGAGGAAUGAAGGAAGAAAAUAUUGGAAAGAGGAUGAAAUAGGACUAAACCUGCAGCAAACGAAGGGUGAUGCUCCAACCAUUCUCUGCGCUUCCUAUCCCAGUCUUCAACAGGUUUCCCAAUGGAGUAGAUGAGGUCCCGGUCAUCAUAGAAUGUAGGCUCAGCUGGGUCGUAGCCCAAGUAAAGGCCUUCGACAGCUGUAUUCCCGGUGAUGACAGGAGGGCGCAAACCAAAGAUGCUCCUUCUACAAAUCGAAACCCAUCAGCAAUUAAAGAAGGAGCUUUGUGCAGAACUGAGCUCCUAGAUGAUGUUUGAAGUAGAGGGAAGUCCGGUGAAGGGCGUCUUCAUGAAAUAAUAGCAGUGCCUUUGUGAUAUGCUGAUAGCUUUGUGUAUGUGUGAGCUUAAACUUUUAAAUACACAGAGCAGAGAGUGUAAACUUGAAGGUACUACUUUGGAAGCAUUAAUUCUUGAACAUACAGAAACCGAACUUUGAAUGAAAAA